rnacentral:rRNA from 1 species
GUAACGAGCGCAACCCUUGUCCUUAGUUACCAGCACGUUAUGGUGGGCACUCUAAGGAGGACUGCCGGUGACAAACCGGGAGGAAGGUGGGGAUGACGUCAAGUCAUCCAUGGCCCUUACGGCCUGGGCUACACACGUGCUACAAUGGUCGGUACAAAGGGUUGCCAAGCCGCGAGGUGGAGCUAAUACCCAUAAAACCGAUCGUAGUCCGGAUCGCAGUCUGCAACUCGACUGCGUGAAGUCGGAAUCGCUAGUAAUCGUGAAUCAGAAUGUCACGGUGAAUACGUUCCCGGGCCUU